rnacentral:snRNA from 1 species
AGCUUUGCGCAGUGGUAGCAUCAUAGCCAAUGAGGUUUAUCUGAGUUGCGAUUACUGCUAAAUGAAAACUUUUACCAAGACAA